CACAUUUCUGGGAGGAGCAAGGCUGUGGGUAACACAUGUAAGGCAAAGCUUCUGGGAACCUGUGAAAGAGAAGGCAUCACCAGCAUGGAGAGGUUCUCCUCUGAGGGUCUGCCAUCAGUGUGGAAGAAGACCAAAUCAGGUGUAUUAUUAAUUAAAUAUUACCCAUGUAGAGAGUAAGUCUUAUGAGGAGAGCUGAGGGAGCUGGGGGUGUUCAGCCUGGAGAAAAGGCAGCUGAGGAGAGACCUUGCUCUCUACAACUACUGAAAGGAGGUGAUAGAGACAAAAGGAAAUGGCCUCAAGAUGUGCCAGGGGAGGUUCAGAUCACAGAAUCACAGAAUUCUGGGAAUUCUGGGAAGGGACCUCUGAGAUCAUCGAGUCCAACCUUAAAAAAACAAAACAACAAGAACAAGAGCAACAAAACAAAAAACACAACACCCCACGUUUUUCCAGGCCAUGGCCAGGAGAGAUGUAUCACAGCCUUAGAGCUGGGUGAAGACAGCUGGACCACCGGGACAACCGAGGGAGAGAGGACACCCAUGGAAACCAAAUUUGUGCUGAACACAAUGAACCAGAAUCGCUGCCCCGGUCUCUUCCCAAAGCAGGAGCUCCAGGAGAGGGAGGUGCAGGACCUGCAGCGGGACUCUUGCGAGUGA
rnacentral:lncRNA from 1 species